rnacentral:rRNA from 1 species
AUGUCAACAUUCAGUAAGGUUCUGGCAGCUCUUCCACUCAGAGAAGGGAGUUGCGGUGUCGAUCCCACCGUGCACGCGGACUCCCAGAGUGCUCUAGCUCGCUGGCUCCUGGACUGGUUUGCCGGGGCAUCUGACGAAGACCGAGAGGUAAUGGUGCAUUCUUUGUAUGGCCUCUGGCUCGCCCGGAAUAAUGCUCGGGAUGGCAAGCCGAUCGCCCCAGCACAUGAAAUAAUGAACUCUAUUUUUGCCCAUAUGAGGGAAUGGAGGAAGAUACAUCCACGGAAGACGGGCGCGCCUGUACGGCAUGAACCACAGCGCUGGGAGCCCCCUGCCGAGGGAUGGGUUAAAGUAAACUCAGAUGGAGCUGUGUCGAAGAUUGGAGAGAAAGGAGGCAGAGGAGCAGUCCUUAGAGACCACAAUGUCGCUUUUCUGGCAGCAACAUGUCAUCAUUUCCCAACCAUUGUGGAUCCGGAAGCUACUGAGGAUGCUCAAGCUAUGGUGAAUAUGCUGAAACAUUCAGCGAGAAAUCUAUCGGCUAACGGUCCAUGGAUUGAGGAGGUGAAAGCUCUACUUGGGUCCUUCGUCGAGUAUAAGAUAUCUUGGGUUCGGCGUUCUGCUAAUAUUGCCACGCAUAAAUUAGCUAAAGUGGGUGUUGGUGAUGAAUUGUUUAGCCCCCGAUCCCCCUUUCCUCAUCUUAGAACGGCGGUGGCGAAGAAGCACAUGAGCACACCGGCGUCGACGCCAAAAAGGUCGACGGGAAGGUGGCACAGGAGGGGCUUAGCGAGAAGGUUGGCCGGAGAACCGGAGCAGUUGCGCCCCGUCCCCUCCUCCCCCUUUCUCGGAGCUGGAGCUAUGCCGUCGGCGGCGGCGGCGGCGUUGAGGGUGCCUGGUUUCGUCGUCGUCGAGGUACAUACAUGGUCCUCUUGCGAGCGCGAUUUUCCUCCCCUGCCGUCACCGCCAGCUGCUCUCCCCCGUCGUCCGAUCCCAUGGGCGCGCCCUGGUCUAGGCGUGUCGACGGCGAUGCUGCGUCUGUCGUGUCGCCGGAGUACCUGCGGCGCCGCGGAGAGGCCCGACAACCGCAGCUUCCGCUUCGCCGCCGCCGACCAACUCUCGAGCUUCAGCCGACCCCAACGUGUACGACCCUCUCCCCCUCUCUAUCUCGUCAGCUAG